rnacentral:misc_RNA from 1 species
UCCGGUUUAUCACCAGCAGUCUCCCUAGAGUCCCCGACACUACUCGUUGGUAACUAAGGAUAAGGGUUGCGCUCGUUACGGGACUUAACCCAACAUCUCACGACACGAGCUGACGACAGCCAUGCAGCACCUGUCUCUAGGUUCCCGAAGGCACUUAUGUAAUUUCUACAUAAUUCCUAGGAUGCAAGAGUAGGUAAGGUUCUUCGCGUUGCAUCGAAUUAAACCACAUGCUCCACCGCUUGUGCGGGCCCCCGUCAAUUUCUUUGAGUUUUAACCUUGCGGCCGUACUCCCCAGGCGGAGAACUUAUCGCGUUUGCUUCGCCACUAAGUACCUUUAUAUACCCAACGGCAAGUUCUCAUCGUUUACGGCGUGGACUAC